CAGAUGACGAUACUCGGGUGCACUUACAGAGCGAAAGUGGGGCAGAUUAUAUCAACGCAUCGUACAUACACGGCUUUAAAAGUCCUCUGAAAUUCAUAGCUGCGCAAGGUCCCCUGAACUCGACGGCUGUAGACUUUUGGAGUAUGGUCUGGCAGGAGGGAUCUCGGGAGAUCGUCAUGGUCACCAAUCUACUGG